GCUAGCCUCCAGCUAACACAAUGGCGUAUUAUGCCGAUCUGAUGAAUCCAGCCGUCAUGUUCGCCGCCAAUGGAUUAGUUCCAAAUCACCCUUCGUAUUAUACCAACUAUGGCGCUCAAGCUCCACCUCAUAAUGGAGAUCCAGGUUAUGCUACUCCUCCUCCUUCAUCUUGUGGAUACUAUAACCCUAAUUAUCCAUCACCGGGCGGUCCUGGUUCACCUGCUCAUGCGCCAUAUGGCUAUUCCGCUCCUCCUCCAUCUUAUAAUAAUGGAUACUAUGACCAUCCAUUCUAUCAGGCGCCUGUUCGACGUCCUAGUAAACCCAGGGCUCCUAGUAAGCCCAAGGCUUGCACUCG
rnacentral:lncRNA from 1 species